rnacentral:tRNA from 1 species
AGAUUAGAUUAUUUAAUUAAUGAAUUUGAUAUCUGCAAAAUAUCAAAAAUGGGGAUCCACUAAUUAU